AACCGCCACCAAUCUUUGAUUCUCUCUCUCGAAGAACAACUCUUCUUCAAAUUAUCCACCUUAUUCUUACACUGCUCCACACUCUUCGACUGAUUCUCACACCUCUCCCUAACCGCAGUGGAUACCUCUUCCCAAUCCCUAACCCCCAAAUUUCCACGGUUCAAUUGAACAAACUUCUCCAAAUAAGCAUCUAACAAGCACGCAAUCGCUGCGUCACUCCACUCUUCUCGAUCCUUCCUGUAAUCCGACGAAUUACUCACGAUUUUCACCUUCUUAUUGUAACUGUACGGCAGUGAACGGAGGUGGAGUAAAGGUGUUAGUGAACGUGUUUGGUUAGGGUUUGCAGCGGUCGGGGUUCAGGUAGUCGGAGAUGGUGGUUCUACGAUUGCCCCUCAAUUCAGCAUCUAAUCACAUUCGAUGUCCCUCAUUUAGGUUUGUCGAGAUGUGGAAAGAGUUGCAGGCUUUGGUGGAUGAAUUAUUUGCACCCAAAUGUGAAACCUGAUGGUCAAAGAUGGCUAAACUAUUCCACUCUAAACAACCAUCGCUGCAGAGGACUAUCGGUGACAUAAAAACCUGGGAUUUCUCUGGAUAAAGCACAGAUCCAAGAAGGUGGCUUUGGACUGGGAAACAUGGAAUGGCUUUAAGUUAUACAAGGUUGGUUGGUAGAAAAAUGUCUGUACUGGUGAUUUAGUUAUGGUGGCAAUGUAAUGGUGUGUAAUGUAUGACUAGUACUCUGCUAAGUCUUUUAAUUUGAGCAAUAAAAUUUGGUUGA
rnacentral:lncRNA from 1 species